CAAAGUGCUCAUAGUGCAGGUAGUUUUGGCAUGACUCUACUGUAGUAUGGGCACUUCCAGU
rnacentral:pre_miRNA from 1 species